UACGGAGGGUGCAAGCGUUAUCCGGAUUCACUGGGUUUAAAGGGUGCGUAGGAGGGCAGGUAAGUCAGUGGUGAAAUCCUAGAGCUUAACUCUAGAACUGCCGUUGGUACUAUCUGUCUUGAAUAUUGUGGAGGUGAGCGGAAUAUGUCAUGUAGCGGUGAAAUGCUUAGAUAUGACAUAGAACACCAAUUGCGAAGGCAGCUCGCUACACAUAUAUUGACUCUGAGGCACGAAAGCGUGGGGAUCAAACAGG
rnacentral:rRNA from 1 species